rnacentral:rRNA from 1 species
GAUGAACGCUGGCGGCGUGCCUAAUACAUGCAAGUCGAGCGAACGGACGAGAAGCUUGCUUCUCUGAUGUUAGCGGCGGUCGGGUGAGUAACACGUGGAUAACCUACCUAUAAGACUGGGAUAACUUCGGGAAACCGUAGCUAAUACCGGAUAAUAUUUUGAACCGCAUGGUUCAAAAGUGAAAGACGGUCUUGCUGUCACUUAUAGAUGGAUCCGCGCUGCAUUAGCUAGUUGGUAAGGUAACGGCUUACCAAGGCAACGAUGCAUAGCCGACCUGAGAGGGUGAUCGGCCACACUGGAACUGAGACACGGUCCAGACUCCUACGGGAGGCAGCAGUAGGGAAUCUUCCGCAACGGGCGAAAGCCUGACGGAGCAACGCCGCGUGAGUGAUGAAGGUCUUCGGAUCGUAAAACUCUGUUAUUAGGGAAGAACAUAUGUGUAAGUAACUGUGCACAUCUUGACGGUACCUAAUCAGAAAGCCACGGCUAACUACGUG